rnacentral:rRNA from 1 species
AGGUUGAAGAGUUGGAAAGAAAAAAUCUUGUCUAUAGGAGGGAAAGACAUUUUAUUGAAGGCGGUGAUACAAUCAAUUCCUGUAUUUUCUAUGUCUGUUUGCAAUAUCCCCAAGAAGCUAUGCAAGGAGAUGACAAAUGCAAUGGCAGAAUUUUGGUGGGGUGAUACAGAUGAAGUUGGACGGAUGCAUUGGAUGACCUAGUGGCGGAUGUGUAUUCCUAAGAGGGACGGAGAUAUGGGUUUCUAUGACCUCCACUUUCUUAACCUUGCUCUGGCAAAACAAUCUUGGAGACUUAUCACAAAUACUGAUACUCUGUGUGCUCAAGUUCUAAAAGCUAAGUACUACCCUCACUGCAAUUUACUUAAGGCGGGCCCGAAAAAAGGUUCAUCAUUCACCUGGCAAAGCAUUGUGGCCGACUUUGUACCUUCAAGAGGGGUCACAUUUGGAGAGUUGUCACCGGUGAAAUGA